CAUGCGUAGACGGCCCUGACGCAUGCGCAUCGGGGGAGGUGGGCAAGGCAUAUUGGGGAGAGUAUAGUCGGGGAAUUUGAGCUCAGGCGCAAUCUGACACCUAGAAGAAAGAGAGAGAAGUCAUUUCACAUGAGAGACCCUGCUUUGAAGCCAGUCAGCUUGAUCGCCAGACCUCCAAGAAACAAAACAAGAUCUCUGGGUAGAUUUGAGGAGAUUCCUCAGAGUUAAAAUACAGGAAGACUUCAGAGUCUGCACUUUCAUCUACUGUUUGGAAGAGCUGAUUGGAGAAAAACUUUCUUUCUUAGAACACCUAAGAAAGGAAAAUUCUGCUGGUUGGAAGUGCUUAUUGGGAAAAAAAAUGUAUUUGCUGGAAGAGUUCACAGAAGGAGAAAAGUUUGACCUUUCCUUUAAUUUUCAUCUACUUCCUGUUAAGGUGAAACCUCUCAAGAGUCCAGCCAAGAGAGAAGAACAGGAAAAGCUCCACAAAUCCCAGGCUUAGGGUAACUAGUCUUGCUGAAAGAGUUUAAUGCUCCCUUGGCAUUAUGUGAACAGACCUGAAAAAUCUCUGUAGUUCUCAGAUUUAGUGGUUCUUUUUUGGGUGAAAGAACUCGACAUUACCUUGGCAGCCUGGAAGAAUAGCCUGAGCUUAGAAGCAAGCCCUAUCUAGAAGAAGAAAUGACUUGUAGUACAUUGUCCCUGAGAGAGAUCAAAGACAUCAAGGCCUCCAAUCCAGAGUUGUGAGCUCCUCUAAACUCAUGUGUUUCCUACUCAUUUGCCUCUUUGCUUGUAAUUUUGUAUGUUUAUUCCUUUUAUCCCUCAUGAAUACUAUGUGCAUUAGCAGAAGAGUAUAUUCCAGAUUUAUGAAUAGAAAGUUAUGUUUGAAUUAUUCUUGCUUUGCCUUCUAUUUAGUAUUUAGUAAAUGCUUUUGAUUAAGAACUAAUUGUAUCAUAUUAGCUGAUUUAUUCAAUGAGAAACACACCUGAGAGGACUCAGGAACUAUGUUUUUGAGGAAUAGGAGUUUAUUCUUCCUUCCAGGGUUACCCCUGGGACCCUGAGAGUGAUAGCCUGAUCACCCCCCCUUCAGGAAAACUCCUAACUAUAUAGUGUGAGUAUGGAUUGUGUAAGCAAGCUGGCCCCCAAAGAAAGAGAAAAGUGGGGUUUACUUUGAAAUAUCACACUAAAGAAGCAAACUUCUGUUGGCAGGUUAGAUCUCCUACCAAGAGAGUUUGCAAUCUCUGUACCAAGGUUUAGAGAAAAAUUACUCUUGAACACAGAUUAUCUUAGAUUCUGAAGUAACUGAAGACCAAUGAGCCAUUAUGGCACUUCAUAUGAUGUUAUAACAUGAUUGACUUUGUUUCUAAUGUUAUUUGUCCUUCAGUUUUCAGAGAAGAACAGUGACAUCACCAGGUGAAAUCUUUAUUUGUGAGUGAAUUAGACUGAAGGAAGGCAAUGUUGCACAGUGAUCAUCCUCACUCUUUCUUCCAGAGUCUUAUUUCUGGUAUAAACUGAGGCAAAAGAUAUUUUUCCUAGUUAUUGUGAUAUUUAUAGGGAAAGAUGCGGUGGAUAAGAACAGGGGAUACAGAAGGUUUGUAGCAGGGAAUGGAGGAGUUGAAGGAGAGAAGGAAUAUGGCUGCCAGUGAGGCAAAGGAGAGAGAUGCCCCCUGCCAAGAGGCUGUUUUUGAACAAAAUGGGGUGUCCAAGAAAUGAGCCACUUAUGAUAGCCUGCUGGGAUUUCUUCUUGCUGGAUUGCUGCCAAAGUUGCCCCAGUGCAGGUAAACACAGACCCUCCUGAGGGACAAGCCUUUCCCCAGAAUUUGGUCGCCCAGCAGGGGUCCAAUAAGGAACAUUUGUAAUUGGAUGACUGAACUGAGGUUCAGCUCCCUCUAUGCCCCAGGAAAGAUAGUCCACUUAUCUGACUUCAAUAUUCAAAUAAGAUAAAUUUUAAUAACCAGUUUGGAUUGUAGAGGUAUCAGGGAAAAGGGAAGAGGGAUGUACCCAAAUAAGGUUGGAGUCUUUCUCAGCUUUGGAGCUGAGGCCAGGCCUCACAGGCUGGUGGAGGGUUUCUCUUAUUCCUGUCUACAUUAUAUCUGUGCUAGUUUUCUUAAUUUCAAAAUCUUAGCAGUAGACAGCAAGCAACAAGAAAAGUUCUGACUUUCAGAUCUGGUUGGGCCUGUCUCUUUGGGUUAAAGAAAUCAAGGCACUCCUAUCCAGACUGGGAAGCCAAAGAACAUCCCACUACCCAGGCCAGAAAGGAAGUGCUAGUCACAAGACCCACUGCCACUCCCAGUUGCCCCUUCCCCCACCAACUGUCAGUCUUGACAAUUUCUUUUCUCUCUAAUAUUCCCAUUGUUGCCUGUUCCAACACAGUGGCAGAUAGUCGAGAGAACUUGUUCUAGUUUCCUUUCCACAUUAUUGACACAGGUUAUUAAUACUGCUAACAAAAUAAGAGCUGGUUGUGUCUUAAAGAAGAUAUAAAAUUUAGUCUGUAUGGUCAAAUCUCUACUGAAGACCUGUAAUAUCUUGUGUUUCAAUGUUAGGCUCUUAAAACUCAAGUCAACAGAAUGAAAGUUCUGACUGAUCCUUCAAGCUAGAAAGACUUUCAAAUAUGGAGUCACUGGGGGCAUCUGGGUGGCUCAAUGGAUUGAGAGUCAGGCCCAGAGUUGAGAGGUCCUAGGUUCAAAUGUGAUCUCAGACACUUCCUAGCUGUGUGACCCUGGGGAAAUCACUUAACCCCCAUUGCCUAGUCCUUACCACUCUUCUGCCUUGGAACCAACAAAUAGUAUUGAUUUCAAGACAGAAGUUAAGGGUUUUUUAAAAAAUUGACUCACUGAUGGAUUGAUCCUAUGCCUCUUGGCCAAGAAACAACUCUAAUGAAAUCUAGAGCUAUCUGUUCAUCACUAGAUUAAGUGUUACACAUUUCUUAACCUGAGCAAUUUUCACAGACUAUCUAAUAAGACAGAGGAAGUAUACCCUUUAUCAAUGGAAGGAAUGCUUAUGUUGGGCAAAAUUACCCGUUUUUGAAGUAUUGACAUAAAAGCUCAAAAUUACAAAGUAUUGCUCAUAUUGGUGGGCAGGAAAAGCAAGACCAAACAGCCUUCUCAGAGUAGAACCAGCCAAUUUUCACAUGCUGUGCCACAGAGCAGAAUUUCAGCCAUUCAGACUGUUAGUUUUAUGGUUGGACUAAAAUGUUCUAAAGACGAUUUCAAAAUGACUGGGCAAAGUCCUCUGAUCACCAACUUUCUAUCCUAUCCAAAUAUAUUCACUCUUCCCCUGACACCCAGUCCCAUACUUUUCCAUUCUGUUAUCAUUUAAAAAAAUAAUUAGUUUUCCUUUUUUAAAAUAUUCAAUUCAAGAAAAAAUAUUUCAUUUUCCAGCACUUCAGCUUUCUCUGAUAAAUGCUGUUCUUUCUUUCCAAAGUAGCCCACAUUUGCCAAAUGUGUAAAUUCAUUUAUAUAGCUAAUAAUAACUUUCUUUUAAAAACUAAUUUUUUACUUUUGAGUUCAACUAAUAAGGGAAAAGUAAGAAGAGGAAGAGAAUCAUAACCUUAUUUUCCAGAAGGUAUAUUGCUGAGAACUAGAAACAUUAGUCUAUUAAUCUAUUUCACAUUUUCAACUGUCAAAAAUUUGGUUUAUAUUUACUGCUCCAUGCUCAGUGGACAGUCAUUUUUCAUUAUGCACUAGACUAAGAAUGUAAAAUUAAAUGUUCAACAAUAUUUGUACAGAUGAAGAAGCCCCCAGCUUUAGCCUUUGACAUAACUAGGACAAUCUAAUAUAAUAACACUUUAAAAGGAUUAACUGCCCCAAACCAACUCCUGGGGGAAAAACAUAUGGCACUAUAUUUAGCUAAAAGGUUCUUGAUAAUAUGUACAUCUUUAUUAGAUUUACAGUAUAUGACCCUCAUUCUGUCCAGAUACAAUUUAUAUUAUAGUGUUUAACAAGGGAUUCUGUCAACAAAAAAGUCAUCUGUAAGAUACAUUAGCUUUUACUUAUUUUAAGAGUUUUUUAAAAAUCAAACAUAGCUAGUAUUUCACUACUUAUAUUGUGAUUUUAUGUUUUGUGUCUCAUUUGAAUUAAAUAGUUAGGCCUGUGAAUGGUCAAACUAUCCCUACCCGUUCAUCAGGUCAUUAAGCAAUAUUUUCAUGAUAUCAAACCAUUUGAUUCAGUUCAGUUUAAUUUAGCUCAAACAAACAUUUAUUAAGAGGUUGCUACAUGCAAGAUAUUGUACUCAAUGCUAGAGCCUUUCAAUGUUUAGAGGAUGAGGGGACCGGACUUCCUUUGUGGUGGUUGAUGAUACCUCUCAAGUCAUCACAAAGAAAAAAAGUCAAGGACACAAUAGAAGAAUAACUUAAUCAUGAGGGAGUCAAUUAUCUAACAUUUUUGAGCACUUAAUAUGUAUCCUUCUCUGUAACAAACUCCAAAGGAUGUUGAGAUUCCCUUCAAUAAAAUGUAAGCUUCUUGAGGCCAGGAA